rnacentral:rRNA from 1 species
AAUUUAGUAGCGAAGUUGCCGAUGUCACACUGCCGAGAAAAGCUUCUAGUGAGAAAUUAACUGCCCGUACCGCAAACCGACACAGGUAGUCGAGGAGAGUAUCCUAAGGUGAGCGAGAGAACUCUCGUUAAGGAACUCGGCAAAAUGACCCCGUAACUUCGGGAGAAGGGGUGCUGAUCGCAAGAUCAGCCGCAGUGAAAAGGCCCAGGCGACUGUUUAUCAAAAACACAGGUUUCUGCAAAAUCGUAAGAUGAAGUAUAGGGGCUGACGCCUGCCCGGUGCUGGAAGGUUAAAAGGAAGAGUUAGCAUUAUGCGAAGCCCUGAAUUGAAGCCCCAGUAAACGGCGGCCGUAACUAUAACGGUCCUAAGGUAGCGAAAUUCCUUGUCGGGUAAGUUCCGACCCGCACGAAAGGCGUAACGAUCUGGGCACUGUCUCAACGAGAGACUCGGUGAAAUUGAAUUGCCUGUGAAGAUGCAGGCUACCCGCGACAGGACGGAAAGACCCCGUGGAGCUUUACUGUAGCUUGAUAUUGAGUGUUUGUACUACUUGUACAGGAUAGGUAGGAGCCAUAGAUACCGGGACGCUAGUUUCGGUGGAGGCGUUGGUGGGAUACUACCCUUGUAUUAUGACCACUCUAACCCGCGCCACUAAUCGUGGUGGGAGACAGUGUCAGGUGGGCAGUUUGACUGGGGCGGUCGCCUCCCAAAAGGUAACGGAGGCGCCCAAAGGUUCGCUCAGAAUGGUUGGAAAUCAUUCGCAGAGUGUAAAGGCACAAGCGAGCUUGACUGCGAGACAGACAGGUCGAGCAGGGACGAAAGUCGGGCUUAGUGAUCCGGUGGUUCCGUAUGGAAGGGCCAUCGCUCAACGGAUAAAAGCUACCCCGGGGAUAACAGGCUUAUCUCCCCCAAGAGUUCACAUCGACGGGGAGGUUUGGCACCUCGAUGUCGGCUCAUCGCAUCCUGGGGCUGUAGUCGGUCCCAAGGGUUGGGCUGUUCGCCCAUUAAAGCGGUACGCGAGCUGGGUUCAGAACGUCGUGAGACAGUUCGGUCCCUAUCCGUCGCGGGCGUAGGAAAUUUGAGAGGAGCUGUCCUUAGUACGAGAGGACCGGGAUGGACAUACCUCUGGUGUACCAGUUGUUCCGCCAGGAGCACCGCUGGGUAGCUAUGUAUGGAUGAGAUAAACGCUGAAAGCAUCUAAGUGUGAAACUCGCCUCAAGAUGAGAUUUCCCAUUCCUUUAUGGAAGUAAGACCCCUCAGAGAUGAUGAGGUUGAUAGGAUGGAAGUGGAAGCGUGGUGACAUGUGGAGCGGACCAUUACUAAUCGGUCGAGGACUUAACC